rnacentral:rRNA from 1 species
AUGGACUGUACCGUACGAGCCCGCGUCAGGAGCCCGUCGCCGGCCGUCUGCCGCUUCUCCGGAGAGGGGCGGCGCCGCCAGGCGUCUAGGGUGUCCUUCCGGCCCAUGGCGUCCGCAACUCCCGUGGAGGAGCCCGCGGCGGCGGCGGCGGCGGUGGUUGAGGCGGAGCCCCGGCCGAGCGGCGCCUCCUUCAUCCGCCACCACCUCAGGAGCCUCGCCGCGUACCAGCCCAUCCUGCCCUUCGAGGUGCUAUCUGCUCGGCUGGGGCGUAAACCAGAGGAUAUAAUCAAGCUGGACGCCAAUGAAAAUCCAUAUGGUCCACCACCGGAGGUAGCUGCAGCAUUAGGAAAUUUAAAAUUCCCUUAUGUCUACCCUGAUCCUGAAAGCCGCCAUUUGCGUGCUGCUCUCGCUGAAGAUUCUGGGCUUGAAACUGAGCACAUACUUGUUGGAUGCGGUGCCGAUGAGCUAAUUGAUUUGAUUAUGAGAUGUGUACUUGAACCAGGCGACAAAAUUGUAGAUUGCCCUCCAACUUUUACCAUGUAUGAGUUUGAUGCUUCAGUCAAUGCUGCACUUGUCAUCAAAGUCCCAAGACUUCCUGAUUUCUCCCUAGACAUCGCAAACAUUGUCAAAAUGGUUGAACAGGAGAAGCCAAAAUGCAUAUUUUUGACAUCUCCUAACAACCCAGAUGGCAGUGUAAUCAAUGAUGAGGAUCUUUUAAAGAUCCUUGACCUUCCGGUACUUGUAGUGCUGGAUGAAGCAUAUGUUGAGUUUUCGAGCCUUCAAUCAAGGAUGACAUGGGUUAAGAAGCAUGAUAAUUUGAUUGUUCUCCGAACAUUUAGCAAACGAGCAGGUUUAGCUGGGCUCCGUGUGGGUUAUGGAGCAUUUCCUCUAAGCAUUAUUGAGUACUUAUGGCGGGCCAAGCAGCCUUAUAAUGUUUCUGUGGCAGCAGAAGUCUCUGCAUGUGCUGCCUUGCAGAACCCAGUCUAUUUGGAGAGCGUGAAAAAUCUGCUACUACAAGAGAGGGAGAGGCUGUAUAAUCUUCUCAAAGGAAUACCUUACCUGAAACCAUUUCCCAGUCAUGCUAACUUCAUUCUGUGUGAAGUCACGUCAGGAAAAGAUGCAAAGAAAAUAAAGGAGGAUCUUGCAAAGAUGGGAGUGAUGAUCCGCCACUACGACAAGAAGGAACUGAAGGGUUAUAUUCGUAUUUCAGUUGGAAAGCCUGAGCACACUGAUGCACUGAUGGAAGGCUUCAAAGCACUCAAACUUUGA